GAUGAAGAACGUAGCGAAAUGCGAUAAGUAGUGUGAAUUGCAGAAUUCAGUGAAUCAUCGAAUCUUUGAACGCACAUUGCGCCCCUCGGCACUCCGGGGGGCAUGCCUGUCCGAGCGUCAUUGCACCCCUCGAGCCCCCCGUGGCUUGGUCGUGAGCCGCGCCCGCGCCAGCCCCGUCCCCCCCCGUGCAGCGGGGGGCAGGGGCGCCGGGCGGGCUCGAAACGCAGUGGCGGCCCCCGGGCGACUUCCAGCGCGAUGACAUGUUUCGCUGCCGAAGCCUUCGCCCCGGGCGCCCGCCAGGCAACCCCCGUGCUUCUUACGCGGUUGACCUCGGAUCAGGCAGGGAUACCCGCUGAACUUAAGCAUAUCAAUAAGCGGAGGA
rnacentral:misc_RNA from 1 species